rnacentral:ncRNA from 2 species
GAUCCCUAAUGCAUGUCUCCCAAAAGUGGGAACCGGUUUUGGGAUAAAGACAUGCAUGAAAACAGAAGUUUAAAGCGUGUCAUACGAGUACGAUUAAAUGCGACACGCUCUAAAACGAAAACGCGCCCCGAAAGGCGCGUUAGAGUUUUAGAC